rnacentral:tRNA from 1 species
AUGUAGCUCAGUGGUAGAGUGCUUGCCUGGUAUGCACCCGGGCCUGGGUUUGAUCCCCAGCAU